GCCAGUGUGAGUGUGGAAGGGCAAGCCCGGGACAAAGGCAAGCUCAAGGGCGUGACCCACCCAACUGGCCUCCAUCCAGGGUGUGGAAUGUCCACGUGUCCAGGGAUACCAAAGGCCUUAUGCUUGAAAAGUGGGUUUUGUUCCUAUCUCAGCCCCAUAAGCCACCUCAUUUCCCCUGCAAGGAGGGAGCUCCUGGAAGCAGGAUGUGUCAGUUCUUCCAGAAAGUCCUGUGCACACAUCAGCAGACUCUGCACAAAGGGGAAUGCAGCAUUCACCCCAUCCCGUGUGGAGAGCUUGACUCACAUCACGGGGAGCCCUGGGGCUCGUUCCAUGUCCACAUGUCGCCACAUGGUUCCCAUGUCCUAGGCUGCAUAUGUGUAGCUCCACAAGGAAGGCCUCUGCAUGUUCCAUGCUGGUGUCUGUGCUGUGCCCUGCAUAGCCGGUCCCUAUAGAGGCCUCUGCACACGCUGUGCUGGUGUCUGUGCUGUGCCCUGCAUAGCCGGUCCCCUAUGGAGGACUCUGCUCGUGCUGUGCUGGUGUCUGUGCUGUCCCUGCAUAGCCAGUCCCUAUGGAGGCCCCUGCUCGCGCUGUGCUGGUGUCUUUGCUGUCCCUGCAUAGCCACCCCCAUGGAGGCCUCUGUGUGCACUGUGCUGGUGUCUGUGGUGCACUCUACAUAGCUGUCGCCUAUGGAGGCCUCUGCACGCUCUGUGCUGGUGUCUGUGCUGUGCCAUGCAUAGCCGGUCCCCUAUGGAGGACUCUGCUCGUGCUGUGCUGGUGUCUUUGCUGUCCCUGCAUAGCCGCCCCUAUGGAGGCCUCUGUGUGUGCUGUGCUGGUGUCUGUGCUGUGCCCUGCAUAACCGGUCCCCUGUGGAGGCCUCUGCACGUGCUGCACUGGUGUCUGCGCCCUGCUUUGAAUAGCCGGCUCCCUGUGGAGGAUGCCGUGCUGGUGUCUGUGCUGCACUCUUCAUAGGUGGUCCCCUAUGGAGGCCUCUGCGUGCACUGUGCUGGUGUCUGUGCUGUGCCCUGCAUAACCGUCCCCUAUGGAGGCCUCUGUGUGCGCUCUGCUGGUGUCUGUGCCGCACUCUGCAUAGCCAUCCCCUAUGGAGAACUCUGCAUGUGCUGUGCUGGUGUCUGUGCCGCACUCUGCAUAGCUGUCCCCUUGGAGGCCUCUGCACACGCUCUACUGGUGUCUGUGCUGUGCCCUACACAGCUGGUCCCCUAUGGAGGCCUCCGCACAUGCUCUGCUGGUGUCUGUGCCGCACUCUGCAUAGCCGUCCCCUGUGGAGGCCCCUGCACAUGUUCUGCUAGUGUCUGCCAUGCUCUGCGUCACCGUCCCCGUCACUGAGCCUGGCAUGGAGUCCUUUACAUCUCCUUCAGCCCCACCUCAUCUGGCAUCGCUUCUUCCUUGGCAUCUGCCUGGCACAUAUUCUCCCGCCACUUGCGUGCGACCCUCACCGUGACAUUUGUGGAGUGGGGCCUCUUCUAAGCAGCACAUGGAUGGGAAUUUUAGUGCUCUGUUCACAUGGAUGAUGCUAAUUGGUCCUGUGGACUCUCUUAGUUUUCUUUUGCGGCUCUGAUGAAUUUCCAUGGACACAAAACACACAAGCAACACCAGUCUUUUAUCUAAUGGUUCUGAAGGUCAGAAGUCAAGGGGUCAGUGGGUCAGCAGCAAGCCCGGUUCCUUCCGGAGACACUCCAGGAGGAUCGUGUCCCUGCUUCUCUAGCUUCCCUGGCCUGUGGCCCCUCCCAGCUGUGACGUCACCCCGACCCCCACUUCUGUUGUCGCAGCUCCUCCUCUGACCCUCCCUUUUAUGGGGACCCUUGCCAUUAUGCUGGCUGGCCCAGAUUGUCCAGAAUCAUCUCCCAUCUCAAGGCCUGUCACCUCAUCACCCCUGCAAUGUCUCAGCAUUUUUCUGGACUGGAGGCUCCAAUGAGCAAAACAAGAGUUUUAUCAUAAUGUCACUGAUAACUUCCAUCCUGCAUCGUUUCUUCAAACGGUCCUCCAGGAAGAGGGUGCUGAGUUGGGUCCCCGCCCUCUGUGGUUGGAGGUGCACCAUCCUUAGUUCUGCUCCACGAGGGUCUGUCUUUAUAAACAAAAUAAAGAAACAGAGUGGUGAAUAAUUUUUUAAAAA